rnacentral:rRNA from 1 species
GCGACNACGGGUANCCGGCCUGAGAGGGUGACCGGCCACACUGGGACUGAGACACGGCCCAGACUCCUACGGGAGGCAGCAGUGGGGAAUAUUGCACAAUGGGCGAAAGCCUGAUGCAGCGACGCCGCGUGAGGGAUGACGGCCUUCGGGUUGUAAACCUCUUUCAGUAGGGAAGAAGCGAAAGUGACGGUACCUGCAGAANAAGCGCCGGCUAACUACGUGCCAGCAGCCGCGGUAAUACACAC